GAGUUUGAUCUUGGCUCAGGACUAACGCUGGCGGCGUGCCUAAGACAUGCAAGUCGUACGUGAAAGUCGUAGCAAUACGGCGAGUAAAGUGGCGAAAGGGUGAGUAACACGUGGGUAAUUUACCCUCAGGAUUGGGAUAACCCCGCGAAAGCGGGGCUAAUACCAGGUAAUAUCACGGAUUCUUCGGAGUCUGGGAUCAUAGGUGGGGAUCGCAAGACCUACCGCCUGAGGAUGGGCCCGCGGUCUAUCAGCUAGUUGGCAGGGUAACGGCCUACCAAGGCAAAGACGGGUAGCUGGCGUGAGAGCGCGACCAGCCACACUGGAACUGAGACACGGUCCAGACUCCUACGGGAGGCAGCAGUCGGGAAUUUUGGACAAUGGGGGAAACCCUGAUCCAGCGACGCCGCGUGCAGGAUGAAGUCCUUCGGGAUGUAAACUGCUGUCGGGUGGGACGAAUGCCCUCCGGGUGAAUAAUCCGGAGGAGUGACGGUACCACCGAAGGAAGCACCGGCUAACUCUGUGCCAGCAGCCGCGGUAAGACAGAGGGUGCAAGCGUUGUUCGGAAUUACUGGGCGUAAAGGGCGUGUAGGUGGUCAGGUAAGUCUGAUGUGAAAUCAUCAUCGCUUAACGAGAUGUCCGCAUCGGAUACUGUCUGACUUGAGUAUAGGAGAGGAUAACGGAAUUCCUGGUGUAGCGGUGUAAUGUGUAGAUAUCAGGAGGAACACCUGUGGCGAAGGCGGUUAUCUGGCCUAAUACUGACACUGAGGCGCGAAAGCUAGGGGAGCAAACGGGAUUAGAUACCCCGGUAGUCCUAGCCGUAAACGUUGGAUACUAGGUGUGGGAGGUAUCGACCCCUCCCGUGCCGCAGCUAACGCAUUAAGUAUCCCGCCUGGGGAGUACGGUCGCAAGACUGAAACUCAAAAGAAUUGACGGGGGCCGCACAAGCGGUGGAGCAUGUGGUUUAAUUCGACGCAACGCGAAGAACCUUACCAGGGUUUGACAUGUAGGUAGUAGGAUCCCGAAAGGGGGACGAUUCCGUAGUAAUACGGAAAGCUUACACAGGUGCUGCAUGGCUGUCGUCAGCUCGUGUCGUGAGAUGUUGGGUUAAGUCCCGCAACGAGCGCAACCCUUAUCCUUAGUUGCCACCAGGCCGAAAGGCGCUGAGCACUCUAGAGAAACUGCCCUGUAUAACGGGGAGGAAGGUGGGGAUGACGUCAAGUCCUCAUGGCCUUUAUACCCUGGGCUACACACGUGCUACAAUGGCUGGAACAACGAGUCGCCAACCCGCGAGGGUGAGCUAAUCUCUAAAAACCAGCCCCAGUUCAGAUUGGAGGCUGCAAUUCGCCUCCAUGAAGUCGGAAUCGCUAGUAAUCGCGGAUCAGCUACGCCGCGGUGAAUACGUUCCCGGGCCUUGUACACACCGCCCGUCACAUCACGAAAGCCUGCUGUAC
rnacentral:rRNA from 1 species